rnacentral:rRNA from 1 species
UGCGUAGGUGGGCAGGUAAGUCAGUGGUGAAAUCUCUAAGCUUAACUUAGAAACUGCCGUUGAUACUAUCUGUCUUGAGUGUAGUGGAGGUGAGCGGAAUAUGUCAUGUAGCGGUGAAAUGCUUAGAUAUGACAUAGAACACCCAUUGCGAAGGCAGCUCGCUACACUAUUAUUGACACUGAGGCACGAAAGCGUGGGGAUCAAACAGGAUUAGAUACCCUGGUAGUCCACGCCCUAAACGAUGGAUACUCGACAUCAGCGAUACACUGUUGGUGUCUGAGCGAAAGCAUUAAGUGUCCCACCUGGGAAGUACGACCGCAAGGUUGAA